AUUAUUUUGGUAAUGAGUUAAUUUUGGUUUCUUUCACAUUGUGGUGGCCUAAUUUCUAAAUUUAUGACCCUUCAUUUCUUGAUCUUGCAUGUAUAUUUUUUUCCCUUACGUCAAUUCUCAUUCAUUAUGAAGAGCUGGUAUAGCAAGGUGGGAAAGAGAGAGGACCCUGGAGCUAGGUCGGCAAGAGCUAGGCUCUUUAGAACUUGGAUUCAGUCCUCACAGUAGCUCUGGGAGGCUGAUCAUGCUAUUCCCUACACACAGAUGUCGGAAUGGGUGCAGAAACACCUGUGUAUUCACAUAGCCAGCAAGAGGUUAAUCUGAGUGUCAGCUACAAUGAUCUAUAGGACUCCAAAGCCCAUGUUUCCAGCUAGAAAGGCAGGCAGGGGCCUUGCAUGCUGUGCCAGGGUUGGGACUUAGUCCGAUAGGCAGAGAGGGUCAGGUAUGUAUUCUAAAAAGGUAGCUCGGUGGCUUUCUGGAGUUUUGAAGUGAAGCAAGUAGAAAUUAGGAGUAGAGAAAUGAGUCCAUUAAAGUAAUUGUCUUGAGAAAAUGACAAGGGCCUGAACGGAAGGCAUUAAGACAGUGGCAGUGGUGGCAGAGAAGAGAGGACUUGUUGGAAUCCGUAGAGCUCAGUGCCUUUGGAUACUAGAAUUGAGGGAGGAAUCGAACCUGAGCCUUGCCUUUCCUUGCCUCAUCCCUUCCCAUUUCAAGUCUGAUACCCCAGGGAUGGGUGUUGAAGAUGCUAUGUGCGGGCUAAAAAUCUCCGCAGAAACCAAAAGUAGGUCCUUUGGUUUCUGCCGACAGCUAGAGAAAGGUGGCUGAACACAGUCGGAAAGGGCCUUCCCCUCCCUGUGCCACUCCAGCCUUAUCACUCCUAAUUUUCCAGGAGCAUCGCAGAGAGGGACGUUGGAUUCUUGACUGCAUUUUGGGAAAUGCUAGUUUGAGCCAUCAAACUUAAGGUGAGAAGUGUGGAAGGGAAGAUGGCUUCCUGGGGUGUUGUCUCCACACCUCUCUUCCCUGGUGACACAGGGGACCCACCAGGGUUUGGUCUUCAGUUCUGUAAGAGUUGAUUCACCAAAUUUGUAGGGGUUGACUGGGAAGCAGGAGUGACUAUGAACAUAAUGGCCAGCCCCUAGAGGAGUUGAGGCCAGCCUCCUCUGAUGGGUGAAGUCUCUGCAGGGCACCGAGCCAUCCUCAGGGGAGCCGGCAUCAGAGCACAGGGAGAUGGUUGGCUGGGGUCUCUGUGUCCUGUCAUUGGUAGGACGCACUGUUACCAUGUCAGGAAUAUACUGGUCUUGUGCCUUCUCCCCUAGUCAGUGCCAGAUGUGGUAAUAAACUUGCUUUUGGGCUUCUGUUUUUCCAAGUUGUGCAACAUCCCUGCCCUUGUGAGAGUUUGUGCUGGCUCUGGUCAGGCUGGAGGUCAGGUGGUCAGAUUCUGGCUUUAUUUGGGUCUCUGUUGGACCUGUCUUCUCUUCAGCCACAAGCUGUCUCUGCGGAAUAACUCAAGUCACCUGUACUGGAAAUCAGUUUACUGAAAUUAUUCAAGCAACAAUUCUUGAAGUUGAAGAAAAGGAGGUUCCAGCCUUGACAAGGAGUGUGGCCCUUCCUGGAAUCCCUCUGGACACACCUUCCUAGCAUCCUCUAGGAAAGAUGCGGCAGCUCAAAGGGAAGCCCAAGAAGGAGACCUCCAAGGACAAGAAAGAGCGGAAGCAAGCCAUGCAGGAGGCCCGGCAGCAGAUCACCACGGUGGUGCUGCCCACGCUGGCUGUGGUUGUGCUCUUGAUCGUGGUGUUUGUGUACGUGGCCACACGCCCCACCAUCACUGAGUGAGCCCUGCAGCUGGCCCUCGGACCCCAUUGGCAGGGAGAGGAGGCGCCGGAGGGGGAAGCAAACAAAAAAUGGCUUUCAUAUUCAGAGAUGUUCAUGCUGCUGAGCUAUAAGCAGGAGCACCCUGUCUUCUCUGAUCUUUGACUUGAUUAAAGUAUCUCUGCUUUUCUUGGGAGGGAAUAGGGGAUGUUUUAUCAGUGAAUGUGCCAUACACCUUAUGGUCCACUUCAUGUGCCUUUCAGAUUUCAAAGCGUGUGUGUGUGUGUGUGUGUGUGUGUGUGUGUGUGUGUGUGUGUGUUUCUC